CAUGACACUGAAGCGUGUACGGA
rnacentral:miRNA from 1 species